UACGUAGGGUGCGAGCGUUGUCCGGAAUUACUGGGCGUAAAGAGCUCGUAGGUGGUUUGUCGCGUUGUUCGUGAAAACUCACAGCUUAACUGUGGGCGUGCGGGCGAUACGGGCAGACUGGAGUACUGCAGGGGAGACUGGAAUUCCUGGUGUAGCGGUGGAAUGCGCAGAUAUCAGGAGGAACACCGGUGGCGAAGGCGGGUCUCUGGGCAGUAACUGACGCUGAGGAGCGAAAGCGCGGGGAGCAAACGGG
rnacentral:rRNA from 1 species